rnacentral:rRNA from 1 species
UACGUAGGGUGCAAGCGUUGUCCGGAAUUAUUGGGCGUAAAGAGCUCGUAGGCGGUUUGUUGCGUCGGCUGUGAAAUCCCGAGGCUCAACCUCGGGUCUGCAGUCGAUACGAGCAAACUAGAGUGUUGCAGGGGAGACUGGAAUUCCUGGUGUAGCGGUGAAAUGCGCAGAUAUCAGGAGGAACACCAGCGGCGAAGGCGGCACUCUGGGCUGGUACUGACGCUGAGGAGCGAAAGCGUGGGUAGCAAACAGG